CGGCAAGCCUGAUGCAGCGACGCCGCGUGCGGGAUGACGGCUUCGGGUUGUAAACCGCUUUCAGCAGGGACGAAGCGACAGUGACGGUACCUGCAGAAGAAGCCCCGGCCAACUACGUGCCAGCAGCCGCGGUAAUACGUAGGGGGCGAGCGUUGUCCGGAUUUAUUGGGCGUAAAGAGCUCGUAGGUGGCUGUUCAAGUCGGGUGUGAAAUCCCAAGGCUCAACCUUGGGUCUGCAUUCGAUACUGGGUGGCUUGAGUCUGGUAGGGGGACCUGGAAUUCCUGGUGUAGCGGUGGAAUGCGCAGAUAUCAGGAGGAACACCGGUGGCGAAGGCGGGGUCCUGGGCCAGUACUGACGCUGAGGAGCGAAAGCGUGGGGAGCAAACAGGAUUAGAUACCCUGGUAGUCCACGCUGUAAACGAUGGGUGCUAGGUGUGGGGGGUUAUCGACUCCUUCCGUGCCGCAGCUAACGCAGUAAGCACCCCGCCUGGGGAGUACGGCCGCAAGGCUA
rnacentral:rRNA from 1 species